rnacentral:rRNA from 1 species
AUUGAACGCUGGCGGCAUGCUUUACACAUGCAAGUCGAACGGCAGCGCGGGCUUCGGCCUGGCGGCGAGUGGCGAACGGGUGAGUAAUACAUCGGAACGUGCCCAGUAGUGGGGGAUAGCUCGGCGAAAGCCGGAUUAAUACCGCACACGACCUGAGGGUGAAAGCGGGGGAUCUUCGGACCUCGCGCUAUUGGAGCGGCCGAUGGCAGAUUAGCUAGUUGGUGGGGUAAAGGCCUACCAAGGCGACGAUCUGUAGCAGGUCUGAGAGGACGACCAGCCACACUGGGACUGAGACACGGCCCAGACUCCUACGGGAGGCAGCAGUGGGGAAUUUUGGACAAUGGGCGAAAGCCUGAUCCAGCAAUGCCGCGUGUGUGAUGAAGGCCUUCGGGUUGUAAAGCACUUUUGGCGGGAACGAAAAGGACUGUGCCAAUACCACGGUUCGAUGACGGUACCCGCAGAAUAAGCACCGGCUAACUACGUG